CUGGUUUAGUUGUCAACGAGACAACCUACAUCCAGUCCUGACAAUCCAACUGGAUUUCAGCUUUUUCUCCAAUAGAAAGAAUUGUGAAUUGUUUACAGAUUGUCCAGUUUCCUCGAAACCUAUCUAUCUCUCACAAUCUCUUUCCUAUUGCUCACCCCUUGAUCCUUGUAGUCAAUCAGCAGACUCACACAAAAUCAAAGUACGGCUCCUUCUUGAUGAGGCUUCUCACCCAAGAAGAUCGCCACCAGUUUCUAGCUGGAUUUCUAGCAGUCGUUUUCUUUACAAAUUAUUUAUUUCAAACAAAAUAAAAGAAGUAGUAAAAGAAGUCUUCAAUCUUGAACAAUGUGUUUUCUCACAAAUCUGGUUAUUUAAGAAUGGAUUAUGAGAACAUUGUCUUUUCUCUCAAGAAUACUUUUUCAGCUCUCUCAAUGAUUAUGGAUAAUCUUUUUGGCUUUGAUCUGAAAAAGCAAUAUCAGAAUGUUAACAAUGUGUUGUAUUGUAUUAAUGAGAGUUUAUGAGUGUUUAUCACUUUUCAUGAAUUGUUAAUGAGAGUUUGAUUGAAAACAGUUUAUAUAGUUUAUGAAAAAAACAACUAAUAAAUCGAUUUGCCAAUCGAUUCAUUAAAGUUAUAAAACAGGUCUAAUCGAUUUGCCAAUCGAUUAUCGCGGGUCUUGUUUUUCUUGAAUCUUGAAACUACAUAAACCAAUCGAUUUGCCAAUCGAUUCUUUAAACAAACUCUUUUCAGUGAAUUAUGUUAAGACUUAUACGCAUCGAUUUCAUAAUCGAUUGCAGGUGUUUUAUUCAAAGUAAAAAUCACACCAAUCGAUUACUUAAUCGAUUUACUAAGUCUCAUAAUCGAUUUACAAAUACUCAGAAUCGAUUUGGCCACAAGCUCAAAGUUCACUGUGAUUUCAAAAAGGUUCUUUCAAUCGAUUUGCCAAUCGAUUGUGUUCAAGACAGUGACUUAGCUAUUUUGAUGUUAAUCGAAGUGCCAAUCGAUUUGUUUGUAUUUGCCUGAAAAGUUCUUACCUGAUAUUUAGUUCAAUCGAUUUCCCAAUCGAUUGCAACCAAACUUAGCAUGAUUGAAAUUCACACAAUAGAUUGUCCAAUCGAUUGUGUUUGUCACAGGUUAAGUUAUUUUUCAAAUAUUAUCUAAGCAAUCGAUUUGCCAAUCGAUUACCCUAGAAAUUGGAUUCUCAUUGUGACUUGAUCAAUCGAUUUGCCAGUCGAUUGGUUUCAAUCAGUUUUACUUUGUGAUGUGUACAAUCGAUUUGCCAAUCGAUUAGCCUGUAAAACAGGGUGCCACUGACUUGUGCAAUUUUCAUUUCUAAUUGUGCCAGUCGAUUGCCUAAUCGAUUAUACAAUCACAAACAGUUAUGUUUUCUUACACCCUUGUUAUGAAAUCGAUUUCCCAAUCGAUUUACUCAGUCAAUGAUCAACUUUUGUUUAUUUCUUGAGUUCCAAGCAAUUUGUAUCAAGUGUGUAGGAUUGAAUUGUUGUUCAUGAAAUCUUGCUCAAUUAAAAUGUUAGAUUUAUCAUAUGAUGUAUGAACAUUGUAUGUUUGUUAAUUAUGUCAAAAUUAGGAUUCAAGGACUAAAGUCCAACAAUAACAGUCUAAGAAAUCACUUUGAGUAAGAGGAAAGUAUCUUAUAAUCUCCUAAAUUGUUUUUGAGAGUCAAUAGCAAACUGACUAGGUUUGAUCUCUAACUCAGACAAAUAUGAUAAAAGGUAUUUUGAAAAUAAAGGUAUGAAAAUCUAGAGAGAAAAACUCUCUAAUUUGACUGACUUUGAAAAAUGAAAAAGAAAUGAGAGAGGAUUUGAAGCCUAAUAUAUUUCCUAGACUAACUAGCUUUGUAGAAGGAGAACUCUUCAACUUUUUUUGUCUUCUUCAUUAUACUUCACAAAUCCUCUUUGAAUUUUCGACAUAUAAUUUGUAUCUUUGAAUUUUCACAUUUAAUUUCUAUGCGAACAAACUCUUCACAUUAAUGACACUUGACCGUACUCACAUCUCUUGGUUAAAAUCUUCAACCAAAUUGAUCGACAUCUUCUUAUAUCCUUGCUCACCUAGUUUUACUAUUUUAUUGUCUCCAAAAGAUUUAUCAUCAGACAUCAUUUUUUUAUUCUCCAUCAAUGAUCUCAUCACAUCAUCUAACAACAGUCUACUUUUCUUUGCUAAUUGACAAUUCUUAAAAAUAAGAGUUAUUAGCCACAUUAAGUUUUAAAUUAGUGAGUCAUUAAGUGUAAUUUAAUCUAGUAUUAAGAUUAAUUUGAAGUUAUUUUAGUUAACCAAAUGCUUUCAUAGUAAAUAUAAUAUUUUACUAUUUUUAGAAUAAAUUGGGUUGGUUUUACGGUAUGUGUGCAUGUAAAAAUAUUUGAAGGAAAUUUGAGUACGAUGUUGCAGUAAACCUCUGCACACUAGUAAGAUCCCCAGUUCUGCAGAUAGGAGACAAAUUCUCGAAGGAAUGAACUUCUUGCACCUUCAUGUACUAAAAUACAAGAAAAACCCCUAAAAGUAAGAAAGAGAAAUGACCUAAGAAAUAUGUACUAUAAAAGAACAGUAACUGUAACUGACUAAUGGAGAAAAAUUUCUAACCUAACUUAAUACAUAGAGUAGUUGCCACUAUCUUUAAACCUACCUACCAUCACUACGCCAAAAAUGACAUUUUAUAAUGCGUCUUUUACAGCGUUUAUUAAAUACAAGUGUUGUUGUUUAAAUAUUUUAAAAAAGACGGAGGAUACAACAACGCUUUUUUGGCGUUGUGGAAAAAGCGUUGUUGUAGGGUCAUAUAGGGUCACACAGCACUUACACAUAAUGUUUACAAGGUUUUUACAACACUUUUUCAAAAGCGCUGUAAAUUGAAGCGCCCUCACAUAAUGUUUUACAGCGCUUUAAACACAAGCGCUGUAAAAUAUAGCGCUCCCACCUUAUGUUACAUAGCUUUUAAAACGCUUUUUUGACAAGCGCUGUAAAAGACUUGCGUUUUCACAUAAAUAAAUGACCUAUUAGAGCGCUUUUUAUACAAGCGCUGUAAAAGACUUGCGCUUUCACAUAAUUAAAAGACCUAUUAGAGCGCUUAUUACACAAGCGCUGUAAAAUCAUUCACUUUAAAUAAAAAUCAUGUACUUUAAAUAAAUAAAAACAAAUUUAAAACAAAUAUACGAACCCUCAUCUUCUAUACUCUGGGAACCUUCCUCUCCUCUACGUACUGUGCGGCCAUUUACUGCUCCUC
rnacentral:lncRNA from 1 species